rnacentral:rRNA from 1 species
AGUAAUACAUAAGUAACCUGCCCUAGACAGGGGGAUAACUAUUGGAAACGAUAGCUAAGACCGCAUAGGUACGGACACUGCAUGGUGACCGUAUUAAAAGUGCCUCAAAGCACUGGUAGAGGAUGGACUUAUGGCGCAUUAGCUGGUUGGCGGGGUAACGGCCCACCAAGGCGACGAUGCGUAGCCGGCCUGAGAGGGUGACCGGCCACACUGGGACUGAGACACGGCCCAG